rnacentral:rRNA from 1 species
UACGGAGGGUGCGAGCGUUGUCCGGAAUCACUGGGCGUAAAGGGCUCGUAGGCGGCCAACUAAGUCAGACGUGAAAUCCCCAGGCUCAACCUGGGAACUGCGUCUGAUACUGGAUGGCUUGAAUCCGGGAGAGGGAUGCAGAAUUCCAGGUGUAGCGGUGAAAUGCGUAGAUAUCUGGAGGAAUACCGGUGGCGAAGGCGGCAUCCUGGACCGGCAUUGACGCUGAGGAGCGAAAGCCAGGGGAGCAAACGGG